UACAGAGGGGGCAAGCGUUGUUCGGAAUUACUGGGCGUAAAGGGCGCGUAGGCGGCUUUCUAAGUCGAACGUGAAAUCCCCGGGCUCAACCCGGGAACUGCGUCCGAGACUGGAAGGCUCGAAUCCGGGAGAGGGAUGUGGAAUUCCAGGUGUAGCGGUGAAAUGCGUAGAUAUCUGGAGGAACAUCGGUGGCGAAGGCGGCAUCCUGGACCGGUAUUGACGCUGAGGUGCGAAAGCGUGGGGAGCAAACAGG
rnacentral:rRNA from 1 species